CGGGGAGCGAGGACGAGUCUGCUCGGUCUUUAAAGAAACUCGUUCGACGCUUCCAACAUUGGAGUCGUUUAAGUGGUCCUGAUCACCGACAGGCUGGACACAACGACUGAGGGACGGAGACAACGAACUUCGCGCUUCAUGCACGAACGUUGAUGCGUGAAUUAGAGAAGCCUAGAUUGCACUUUAUACCUGGAUUACACAAGCAAGUUACGUUCAGGCGAUGUCGUAAAUGGGUGAAUCAAUCAUCUUCUGUGCUUGGUGUUACGUUCUGCAGAAUAAACGGUAGUUGGGGAAGAACAGUAAUCCAAAUGUGUAGAAGAGAUAAAGGAGCGUGACCACAGAGCAGCUGCAAAGGUGAAGGAAACAACGAACUUUGCACUUCAUGCACGAACGUUGAUGCGUGAACUAGAGAAGCCUAGAUUGCACUUUAUACCCGGAUUAUACAAGCAAGUAGGCAUGUUUUUCAGGCAAGCUAUUUCGGUUGUUGGAUCUUUUUACAUUGUAUUUUCUCCUAGGUUACGUCCAGGCGAUGUCGUAAAUGGGUGAGUGAAUCAUCUUCUGUGGUUGGUGUUGCGUUCUGCAGAAUAAACGGUAGUUGGGGAAGAACAGUAAUCCAAAUGUGUGGAAGAGAUAAAGGAGCGUGACCACAGAGCAGCUGCAAAGGUGAAGGAAACAACGAACUUUGCACUUCAUGCACGAACGUUGAUGCGUGAACUAGAGAAGCCUAGAUUGCACUUUAUACCUGGAUUACACAAGCAAGUAGGCAUGUUUUUCAGGCAAGCUAUUACGGUUGUUGGAUCUUUUUACAUUGUAUUUUCUCCUAGGUUACGUCCAGGCGAUGUCGUAAAUGGGUGAGUGAAUCAUCUUCUGUGGUUGGUGUUGCGUUCUGCAGAAGAAACGGUAGUUGGGGAAGAACAGUAAUCCAAAUGUGUGGAAGAGAUAAAGAAGCGUGACCACAGAGCAGUUGCAAAGGUGAAGGAAACAACGAGCUUCGCGCUUCAUGCACGAACGUUGAUGCGUGAAUUAGAGAAGCCUAGAUUGCACUUUAUACCUGGAUUACACAAGCAAGUUACGUCCAGGCGAUGUCGUAAAUGGGUGAGUGAAUCAUCUUCUGUGGUUGGUGUUACGUUCUGCAGAAGAAACGGUAGUUGGGGAAGAACAGUAAUCCAAAUGUGUGGAAGAGAUAAAGGAGCGUGACCACAGAGCAGCUGCAAAGGUGAAGGAAACAACGAACUUUGUACUUCAUGCACGAACGUUGAUGCGUGAACUAGAGAAGCCUAGAUUGCACUUUAUACCUGGAUUACACAAGCAAGUAGGCAUGUUUUUCAGGCAAGCUAUUUCGGUUGUUGGAUCUUUUUACAUUGUAUUUUCUCCUAGGUUACGUCCAGGCGAUGUCGUAAAUGGGUGAGUGAAUCAUCAUUUCUGGUUGGUGUUACGUUCUGCAGAAGAAACGGUAGUUGGGGAAGAACAGUAAUCCAAAUGUGUGGAAGAGAUAAAGGAGCGUGACCACAGAGCAGCUGCAAAGGUGAAGGAAACAACGAACUUUGUACUUCAUGCACGAACGUUGAUGCGUGAACUAGAGAAGCCUAGAUUGCACUUUAUACCUGGAUUACACAAGCAAGUAGGCAUGUUUUUCAGGCAAGCUAUUUCGGUUGUUGGAUCUUUUUACAUUGUAUUUUCUCCUAGGUUACGUCCAGGCGAUGUCGUAAAUGGGUGAGUGAAUCAUCUUCUCUGGUUGGUGUUACGUUCUGCAGAAGAAACGGUAGUUGGGGAAGAACAGUAAUCCAAAUGUGUGGAAGAGAUAAAGGAGCGUGACCACAGAGCAGCUGCAAAGGUGAAGGAAACAACGAACUUUGUACUUCAUGCACGAACGUUGAUGCGUGAACUAGAGAAGCCUAGAUUGCACUUUAUACCUGGAUUACACAAGCAAGUAGGCAUGUUUUUCAGGCAAGCUAUUUCGGUUGUUGGAUCUUUUUACAUUGUAUUUUCUCCUAGGUUACGUCCAGGCGAUGUCGUAAAUGGGUGAGUGAAUCAUCAUCUCUGGUUGGUGUUACGUUCUGCAGAAGAAACGGUAGUUGGGGAAGAACAGUAAUCCAAAUGUGUGGAAGAGAUAAAGGAGCGUGACCACAGAGCAGCUGCAAAGGUGAAGGAAACAACGAACUUUGUACUUCAUGCACGAACGUUGAUGCGUGAACUAGAGAAGCCUAGAUUGCACUUUAUACCUGGAUUACACAAGCAAGUAGGCAUGUUUUUCAGGCAAGCUAUUUCGGUUGUUGGAUCUUUUUACAUUGUAUUUUCUCCUAGGUUACGUCCAGGCGAUGUCGUAAAUGGGUGAGUGAAUCAUCUUCUCUGGUUGGUGUUACGUUCUGCAGAAGAAACGGUAGUUGGGGAAGAACAGUAAUCCAAAUGUGUGGAAGAGAUAAAGAAGCGUGACUACAGAGCAGCUGCAAUGGUGAAGGAGAGGUGUAGUGGUCAGCGUUCAUCCAUAUACGUUGUGCCCCGUGUGUUCGGCGUUUGUGCGUCAUGACAAUGCACGCUCGCGAUGGACCCCUAUAGUAUCACCCCUGAAAUGGAUGUAAUUUUCGAAUAAAGGUAUUUGUGAUAUUUA